rnacentral:antisense_RNA from 1 species
GAUUCUUCCCAAUUCUACCGCCACCAUUCUGGUUCAAGCUACCUGGUCCAGCUUUGACUUUACCUGGUUUUUUAUAGAAUGCUACAACUCCCUCUAGAAGCUUCUCUUGAUAAGAACUCCUUUCCUUAGGCUGGAUUUGCCAUCUCCCACAAUGCCCAUAACUUGAAUUAUCACUUAGGUCUUUGGACCUAAUUUCUAAGAAAGGUAAAACAUGCACAGAGCAAAUUUCGGUUGUAUCCUAGAAAUGAUAGCCAUAUUCAGGAUACUGGUUACACCUGACGAAACAUCUCCAUGAAAGUUAAGCAUACACAGGAUCUCACUUUGUUACCCAGGCUAGAUAGAGUGCAAUGGUGUGACCACAGCUCACUGAAGCCUCAACCUCCUGAGCUCACUUUUAAGCAAUCCUCUCACUUCGGCCUCCUGAGUAGCUGGGCCUACAGGCAUGUACCAACACUCCCAGCAAGUUUUUCUUAUUUUUUGUGAAGACAGAGUCUUGCAGUAUUGCCCAAGCUGGACUUGAACUCCUGGCCUCAAGCAAUCCUCCCAUCUAGGCCUCCCAAAGUGCUAGGAUUACAGGCAUGAGCCACUGUGCCAAGCAACACUUGCAGUUUUUAAGUGAAAAUGAUCCUGUAAAUAUACAUAUGAAUAAAAUCUAGAAAGCUAUAUAAAUCAAAA